rnacentral:lncRNA from 1 species
CCUUGAUCAUACUUGAAGGAAAUCAAAAGUAACACCUAGCUGAGAAAGGGCUAGGCCUCCCACCCUGGGUGAUACAGCCUCCCACUCGGCAGUGGUGUCUUGUUCAUUUGGACUCGCAGAUAGGGCCGAGGUUUAAGGCUGCUGUGUGGACCAGAACUGGGGAAAGAAGCUCGACUCCUGGUGAACUGUGAGGGUGGUACACUGAGUCAUCGCCGUUAGAGAUGGCAACACAGGACACAAGCCUUGUUCCUUUUCUAUGGAGUCCACUUAUUUUCUCAGUGCAUUUCUGGGGUCAAAGGUCUCAGCAGAUAACCUUUAGCUGACUAGCAAGCCGUCCCUUUGUUUAUCAGUAUGAGCUAAGUGUUAAUAAGAGCUACCAUUUAUCAAGCCAUGCCCCAGGCAUUGUGCUGAGCAAAACUUUCUUUCAACAAUUAUAGAGCCCCUGGGAAUACAGUUUUGAAUAAACUCUGCAGAAGCUUAUAAUCCACUGCAGGUGACAGCCACCCAACAACAGCCAUUUGAAUGAUUACAAGAGAGCAAAACCCUACUCAGGGGACGGCCAGGACCCACUGGAAGUCUCUGAGCAUCCUUCCUCUGUGGAAAAUAGAGCUUCUGUUCAAGGACCAAACUUCACCAUGACAAACGACUCUGGUUUUAAACCAUUUUCGAGAGAAGGUGUCAAGGUCACUGGAAAUGCAGAUGCCUUGGAGAGUGAGAUGAACAUACAAGUCACCCGGCAAAUGUGCCAUGGGCACAUUCUCCAGUCAUGCUCAAUUCUUAGUCAGCAACUUCACUACCAGAACACAAGGAGAAUGAGCCUCAGAUGAAAUUCUCCCAAAUGGUGCUGUUGUGCUCAACCACACUGGAGCCGGUGUAGAAGGAAAGUGAAUGCUUCUUCAUCUCUUUAUCAAAAGUUCCUCUUUAUAUGAUUACUAUUAUAUUAUAUAAUCAUAUAUGAUCUGCACUCUAGAUUAGAUAGACAUAGCCAAUUAAUUGUUAUAAAUGACUAAUUAUAAAAUACUUCAUAUACAAGCAGAUUUUAUCUUAUGUCACUAUAUUAAAUUAUAUUAAUAUCAAGAGUUAAUAAAAACUAUCCAACUGAAAAAAAUGACUGUACA